CAGGGCGAGCUGAGAAGCGCUUUCACUCUUCCAGGAACCUGUUUGGCGAACUCUCCAGCGAGUGCUUACUCCGCCUCGGCCGCAUCUUCGUCGCCGUUCGACAUGUCUCCUCCGAGCUUUGACGUGACUUCUCCGUGGUGGCGCAAUGGGCGUCAAGCACGCGGAUGCCGUUGCCAUGGACACGAGGCCACGCGCACCAACGUAAUGACGUCACAUGCGAUGUUGGACCUUGCCUUGACGUCAUCGUCCCUCCGACCGGAUAUCAUACGGAGGCCGCCAUGACAGUAUCCGCAGAACGGAUGUGCAAGACACGUCAGCUAUAUAAAGAGCGAGAGUUCAGUUCUCUACCUAAAUGCGUAUUACAGGUAAUAUUUUAUUUCACAACACUUUGCCUUGUUCCUUUUUUAAUCUCCAUCGCAGACCAGAUAUCAUACGGAGGCCACCGUUACAGAUGCGCAGAACGGAUGCGCAAGACACGUCAGCUAUAUGAAGAGCGAGACUUCAGUUCUCUACCUAAAUGCGUAUUACAGAUACGUCUGAAGCGUUGGAGUUAUCCAGAGAGACUCUCACUGAAGGCCCGAGCACCAAACGUACCACUGGUUGGCGACAUGUGUCCCAAUACCUUUGUCCAUAUUGUGUAUUCACAUGUUCUAAAGAUUUUAUCCCCG